AUAGAUAUUACGAAGAACAUCAGUGGCGAAGGCGGCCUGCUGGUCUACAACUGACGCUGAGGCACGAAAGCGUGGGGAUCAAACAGGAUUAGAUACCCUGGUAGUCCACGCCGUAAACGAUGGACACUAGUUGUUGGGAUUUAUCUCAGUGACUAAGCGAAAGUGAUAAGUGUCCCACCUGGGGAGUACGAUCGCAAGAUUGAAACUCAAAGGAAUUGACGGGGGCCCGCACAAGCGG
rnacentral:rRNA from 1 species